CUCUUCUCCCCUCUCCCAUUCCCAGCCUCACUCCGUCAUCCGCCACACCAUCCGCUCCACCAACAGGAACAUCAGGGCAGAGAGAACAGCCUCAGAGAUAAACUUUGAUAAGCUGCAAUUUGAGCCCCCUCUUCGGAAAGAAACGGAAGCUCGGGAUGAAAUGGUUGUGGCAGCUGGCAGUGACUUUGCUUCACACUGGAAUCCUUUUGUUGAUGGUGGAAGCAACAAGGGACUGCUCACAAAAUUUGGCGAUGGGAGUGAAGAUGUUGAAGAGUCGACCCUAAAGCGAGCGGGGCCACCUCCGCUGCCUCCCAAGGUGAGA